AGGGUUUGAUCAUGGCUCAGAUUGAACGCUGGCGGCAGGCUUAACACAUGCAAGUCGAGCGGAAACGAUGAAAAGCUUGCUUUUCAGGCGUCGAGCGGCGGACGGGUGAGUAAUGCUUGGGAAUAUGCCUUUGAGUGGGGGACAACAGUUGGAAACGACUGCUAAUACCGCAUAACGUCUACGGACCAAAGGGGGGGCUCUUCGGACCUCUCGCUCAUAGAUUAGCCCAAGUGAGAUUAGCUAGUAGGUAAGGUAAUGGCUUACCUAGGCGACGAUCUCUAGCUGGUUUGAGAGGAUGAUCAGCCACACUGGGACUGAGACACGGCCCAGACUCCUACGGGAGGCAGCAGUGGGGAAUAUUGCACAAUGGGGGAAACCCUGAUGCAGCCAUGCCGCGUGUGUGAAGAAGGCCUUCGGGUUGUAAAGCACUUUCAGUCGUGAGGAAAGGGAUGUAGUUAAUAACUGCAUUCUGUGACGUUAGCGACAGAAGAAGCACCGGCUAACUCCGUGCCAGCAGCCGCGGUAAUACGGAGGGUGCGAGCGUUAAUCGGAAUUACUGGGCGUAAAGCGUGCGUAGGCGGUUUGUUAAGCAAGAUGUGAAAGCCCCGGGCUCAACCUGGGAACUGCAUUUUGAACUGGCAGGCUAGAGUAUUGUAGAGGGUGGUGGAAUUUCCAGUGUAGCGGUGAAAUGCGUAGAGAUUGGAAGGAACAUCAGUGGCGAAGGCGGCCACCUGGACAAAUACUGACGCUGAGGCACGAAAG
rnacentral:rRNA from 1 species